rnacentral:lncRNA from 1 species
ACAGAUCAACAGACCAUAGUCACUUAAUCUAUUCACUUUGAGCAGUAGAGAGUCUCUGUAUUGAUUACUAUCCAUUGUGACAAGAUCUAAGUAGUAUGCACUACCUACUGAGAGAAAAACUACACAAGAUCAAGGCAACCAAUGCAAGAGACUCAUGAAACUCUACCUCUAGCUGAGGAGCUACUGACUGAUGUAGAUAUAAUGGAAAGACAGUAGGUUUCAUUUUGUAGUACAGCCCAUGGAAGAUUACCCAUCAUCCAAAGGAUGAUGUCUUUCAGCCAUGUGCAUAAAAGUGGCAUCAAUUGAAUAAAGUGGGUUAUAGAAAAAGGAAAAAGAGGAAGAGGGAAGAGGACAUAAAGGUAGGAGAUGGACAUACAGUUGGAGUUGGAUGAUGAUUUAGCCAGGCAGGGAUUGAGAGAAAAUAUAAAUGCUUUUAUUUGUGAGGGGAAUCAUACAAUAGAAACCCCACACUGAGCUUCUUCAUUGCAUUUGUGGGUGUUUUUUUUGUCUGUUUUUGCUUUCUUAUUUUGUUUUGUUUUAUAUUGUUUUGGGGGGAGGGUGUACAAUGUGCAUGCAGCAGAAUCUAGGAAUACAUAUCUAUUUUCAUUAUUCUGCUUUUAUAUUUUAGUUAGACAAGAGGGAAGGUCAACAAAACAAGAGUGUAGCAACAGAAAAUGCCUGACACAUAUACAGCAGAGGACUGCCUGGUCCAGGCUUAGAGAAGAUGGACCUAACACUCAAGAUACUUGAGGUCCCAGGGAGUGGAGAGGACUAGUGAUGUUGGGAAUGGGGACACACCGUUUUGGAGACUGGGAGGGGAGCAGGAUUUAUGAGAUAAGGAAUAGUCAAAGGGUGGAUCAGGAGGGGCAUAAUAACUGGAAUGUAAAAAAAAAUAGAUAAAUAAAUAAAUAAAUAAAUGCCUUUGGCUACAAUGAGAAAAGAAUGGUGUGAAAUAAGGAAACAAAACAAAAAGAAACUAAAACCCCCCAAACAAAACAAACAAACAACAUCAACAACAGCCAAAGAGUUGUUCAUAUAGGAGUUUGGAAGCUGUUACAAUGAUUUAAGGGAUCAAUUUAGAGGAAUCACAUGCAUUUUGAAAAUAUUAUAAGAUUAAGAGAUGCAAGCAAGGUUUCAGGGAUCCAAAUUUGGAAUAGAGAAAGAUUGGGAGAUUCAAAUUUUAUUUGGGAAAUAGAGCUAAGCAGACUGAUUGUUAGGAUAUAAGCACACGAAAGAAGAUAAGGAUUUGUAUAGUAGAUAAUGAUUCUGGAUUGUUUGAAUCGAUGCAAUAGUGUAAGCAUAUUUAAGAAUAUUGUCAUUAGAAUGAGGAGAUAUAAUUGUUUCAGUUUGAGAUAUAAUGUCCCUGUUGAAAUCUAUGUCCAGACACAUAUAUUUGUAAUAACAAAAAAAAAGAAUGCCAUGGAUUUGAAAGAGAACAAUGAGUUUGUUUGUUUUCAUGGUACAAAAAAAGAAGAGGAAAAUUAUGCCAUUAUAAUAUAAAGAAAUAAUUAAAAAUAAAAAUUCAUUGAUUUUUAGAUAUCUUAGAUAUUUUAGUAUUUCUUAGAUGUCAUGGGCUCCUCUAUUCUAAAUACAUCAAAGUGUCCUGCUAUGGUAACUGACCAUUAAUUUGUCAACAUAGGAUACCUGAGUAUUUUCAAAUAUCAGCUAUUUUACAAAACAAAAAUAUAUCUGUUCUUGAUGACAACAGAUGACAAGUUAAAUCAAAGUGCCCAUUUGCUAUUUAUGUGGUAGACAUACACUAUAACUUUGAAUAAAUUGGAAAGUAAAUUAAUCAUAACAGAAUGAUAAUAACUGAACUCAUUUCUGGGCAGAGCUUAUUAAAUAGACAAAUGUAAACUAACAAAAACAAAAGCAAUAACUCAGUGAUU